UUCAAUUCUUUUAAAAAGAUGUGCAGACUAUUUCUUUUACAACUUUUUGUGGAGACCUAUGGGUGUCUUUUUAUUAUGAUAAAUAGAUAUGUACAAAUCAACUAAUGUAUCUAAGCCCAAAUGGAACCCGAUCCAUUCUAAUCUAAAACAACAAAAGAAAAACUUAAGAAAAAAAAUCAAGGAAACUUAGAAGACUAUAGAAAAAGAAAAAGAAAAAGAAAAAUGAGGUUCAGCUGGCUCUUCGAAAGUCCCAUGGCGUCGGGUUGAUGUUCCAGCCUCGGCUGUAAAUUCUAGGUUCCAUCUUAAUACAUCCCAUAAGCUCUCACCAGAUGCUAUGGUAACCAAUCCUAUUUGAAGAUUUCUUCAAGAUGUGGAUUUAUAAAGUCAAUUUAAUCUUCCAAAGGUUGAACCUCACAAAGAGGUUAAUACCACUGCUUAACUUCAGAAGAAAUAAAGCUCAGUGUAACAAGUUAUUUGAUUGCUACAUUUUCCAUUUAUGAUGUUCUUGAGAUGUAGUCUAUGUUCUUGAGAUGUAGUCUAUGUGUUUUUUGUACCUUAAUUGUUGGCUGGUUGUUAACCUUUUAUUUCCUUCCAGAUACAUGCUUUGACUAAUUUGUAUUCCUUUGUAUUGUAUUUUUGCUCUUUUGAAACCGAAGCCUUGAAAUUCCUUAUU